rnacentral:rRNA from 1 species
UGCNGCGGUGUGCCUUAGGCAUGCAAGUCGAGCGGAUGAUCUUAGUUUCGCAAGAAACUAGGGGAGUCAGCGGCAGACGGGUGAGGAAUGGGUAGGAAUCUACCUCUUGGUGGGGAAUAAUUCCGCGAAAGCGGAACUAAUACCGCAUAACUUCGUAAGAAAAAAGGGCGUAACUGCCCGCCGAGAGAUGAGCCUGCUUGCUAUCAGCUAGUUGGUAAGGUAAUGGCUUACCAAGGCGAUGACGGCUAGGGGGUGUGAGAGCAUGGCCCCCCACAAGGUAACUGGGACACGGUACCUACACCUACGGGUGGCAGCAACCGGGAAUAUUGCGCAAUGGACGAAAGUCUGACGCAGCGACACCGCGUGCGGGAUGAAGGCCUUCGGGUCGUAAACCGCUGUGAUAAAGGAGCAAAAUUUGAGAGUACUUUAUUAGAAAGCACCUGCUAACUACGUGCCAGAAGCCUCGGUAAUACGUAGGGUGCAAGCAUUGUCCGGAAUCAUUGGGCGUAAAGAGUAUUGUAGGCGGUUGAUUAAGUGGUGGUUUAAAGCCUGGAGCUCAACUCCAGAGAUGGUCACCAUACUGGUCGACUAGAGGUAAUUUGGGGAUGCUGGAAUUCUCAGUGGAGGUGUGAAAUCCCGUUGAUAUUGAGAAGAACACCAAAGGCGAAGGCAGGCAUCUAGAAUUUACCAGACGCUGAUGAACGAAAGCUAGGGGAGCGAAAGGGAUUAGAGACCCCUGUAGUCCUAGCCGUAAACAAUGAACACUAGCUGGUUCGGAUUUCCGGACUGGCGUAAGCUAACGCGUUAAGUGUUCCGCCUGGGGAGUACGGUCGCAAGACUAAAACUCAAAGGAAUAGACGGGGAAACGCACAACCAGCGUGCCAUGUGGUUUAAUUGGAUACGAAACCUUGAACCUUACCUAGGUUUGACAUGUACCUGCAAAUCCUAUGAAAGUAGGACUUCUUCGAGAGUGGUACACAGCUGCUGCAUGGUUGUCGUCAGUUCGUGUCGUGAGGCGUCCGCUUAAGUGCGGUAACGAACGCAACCCCUGCCGCGUGUUGAAUAUUCACGCGGGACUGCCGUACUUGCAGUACGGAGGAAGGAGGGGAUGACGUCAAAUCAGCAUGGCGCUUACACCUAGGGCUACACACAUGGCGUAAUGGGUGGGACAACGGGUCGCAAUGGAGUAAUCCGGAGCUAAUCCUUAUAAACCCAUCCUCAGUUCGGAUUGUGGGCUGCAAUUCGCCCACAUGAAGGGGAGUUGGUAGUAAUCGCAGGUCAGCUAUACUGCGGGA